rnacentral:sRNA from 1 species
GAAAGCGUAAGAACAAUAGCACAAAAGCAACAAAAAGCAAAGCUAGGAAAGUCCUUGACCUCUCAGCUGCAACAGACAAAAAGACGAGCCCAACUAUAAGUGAAAAUACCAAAUCUAAGUUGUCAAUGUUCUCAUCUGCAGAGGCCAGUGCUGGAGAUGAUUCAUCGCAAAGAGACUUGUCCAGUUUUCCUCAUCUUCACCUGGACUUCAUGCAGCCUGAUAAAAUUAAUGAUGCAGACAAAAAGCUCAAAUCAGAUCCUGAAUACAAUCCAAAGACAUUAUAUGUGCCAGAGUCUUUUCUUAAC